rnacentral:rRNA from 1 species
UACGAAGGGGGCUAGCGUUGCUCGGAAUCACUGGGCGUAAAGCGCACGUAGGCGGGUCCUUAAGUCAGGGGUGAAAUCCCAGAGCUCAACUCUGGAACUGCCUUUGAUACUGGCGACCUAGAGUCCGGAAGAGGUUAGUGGAAUUCCCAGUGUAGAGGUGAAAUUCGUAGAUAUUGGGAAGAACACCAGUGGCGAAGGCGGCUAACUGGUCCGGUACUGACGCUGAGGUGCGAAAGCGUGGGGAGCAAACAGG